ACAGUCUCAGCGAAGGCCUGAAAGAAAAAAUAUGGCGAGCACUGAGUCAGCUGUGGGAGCACAGGUGAACGCAAUUAAGCUGUGUGACCGGAAGGGGUGGAGCCAGGCUGCACCUCUCCUAGGCCCCAUUUAAGGGCUGACUGCCCCUGAGGAAGGAUUUCUUUCUGGAGAUCACCCCUUGUGGAGAUUUUGUGAGCCUACAACACUGAGUGGCAAGGAGGAGACUUUCUAUGUAUGCAUGACUUCCUUUGUUAUUAUAACAGUAAGAACCUGGGCUGGAAUCUUCACUCUAAAAGCAAAACUCCGAAUUAUCUUACUCAAAUAUGCACUUUCACCAAUAAUGUAUUACUUGAGCAGAGCUCAAAAUUGUUAGAACAAAACUGAACGUGGCUGUUUAGAGAGACAUAAAGUGCCAAGAUGGCCGAAGUGAAAAGAAAAUAUAUGGCUAUAGAUGUUAUCAAUCUUGCCUUUCUUUCUCUUCUUCUCUUUUUUUCAUUCAAAUG
ensembl:lncRNA